AGAGUUUGAUCCUGGCUCAGGACGAACGCUGGCGGCGUGCUUAACACAUGCAAGUCGAGCGAGGCCCUCUUUCGGGGGGUGCCCUAGCGGCGAACGGGUGAGUAACACGUGGGUGACCUGCCCCCUACUCUGGGAUAAGCCUGGGAAACUGGGUCUAAUACCGGAUAUGACUACAUGUCGCAUGGUGUGUGGUGGAAAGUUUUUUCGGUGGGGGAUGGGCCCGCGGCCUAUCAGCUUGUUGGUGGGGUGAUGGCCUACCAAGGCGACGACGGGUAGCCGGCCUGAGAGGGCGACCGGCCACACUGGGACUGAGACACGGCCCAGACUCCUACGGGAGGCAGCAGUGGGGAAUAUUGCGCAAUGGGCGGAAGCCUGACGCAGCGACGCCGCGUGGGGGAUGACGGCCUUCGGGUUGUAAACCUCUUUCGGCCCCGACGAAGCGUGAGUGACGGUAGGGGUAGAAGAAGCACCGGCCAACUACGUGCCAGCAGCCGCGGUAAUACGUAGGGUGCGAGCGUUGUCCGGAAUUAUUGGGCGUAAAGAGCUCGUAGGCGGUCUGUCGCGUCGGUCGUGAAAACUUGGGGCUUAACCCUGAGCUUGCGGUCGAUACGGGCAUGACUGGAGUUCGGCAGGGGAGACUGGAAUUCCUGGUGUAGCGGUGAAAUGCGCAGAUAUCAGGAGGAACACCGGUGGCGAAGGCGGGUCUCUGGGCCGAUACUGACGCUGAGGAGCGAAAGCGUGGGGAGCGAACAGGAUUAGAUACCCUAGUAGUCC
rnacentral:rRNA from 1 species